rnacentral:rRNA from 1 species
UCGACGAAGGUCCGGGUUUUCUCGGAUUGACGGUAGGUGGAGAAGAAGCACCGGCCAACUACGUGCCAGCAGCCGCGGUAAUACGUAGGGUGCGAGCGUUGUCCGGAAUUACUGGGCGUAAAGAGCUCGUAGGUGGUUUGUCGCGUUGUUCGUGAAAUCUCACGGCUUAACUGUGAGCGUGCGGGCGAUACGGGCAGACUAGAGUACUGCAGGGGAGACUGGAAUUCCUGGUGUAGCGGUGGAAUGCGCAGAUAUCGGGAGGAACACCGGUGGCGAAGGCGGGUCUCUGGGCAGUAACUGACGCUGAGGAGCGAAAGCGUGGGGAGCGAACAGGAUUAGAUACCCUGGUAGUCCACGCCGUAAACGGUGGGUACUAGGUGUGGGUUUCCUUCCUUGGGAUCCGUGCCGUAGCUAACGCAUUAAGUACCCCGCCUGGGGAGUACGGCCGCAAGGCUAAAACUCAAAGGAAUUGACGGGGGCCCGCACAAGCGGCGGAGCAUGUGGAUUAAUUCGAUGCAACGCGAAGAACCUUACCUGGGUUUGACAUGCACAGGACGCGUCUAGAGAUAGGCGUUCCCUUGUGGCCUGUGUGCAGGUGGUGCAUGGCUGUCGUCAGCUCG